rnacentral:rRNA from 1 species
UACUGAGGGUGCGAGCGUUGUCCGGAAUCACUGGGCGUAAAGGGCGCGUAGGCGGCUUCUCAAGCGUGUGGUGAAAGUCCGGGGCUCAACCCCGGAUCGGCCGUGCGGACUGGGGAGCUCGAGUUCUGUAGAGGCGGGUGGAAUUCCGGGUGUAGCGGUGGAAUGCGUAGAGAUCCGGAAGAACACCGGUGGCGAAGGCGGCCCGCUGGGCAGAGACUGACGCUGAGGCGCGACAGCGUGGGGAGCAAACAGG